GCGGCCUAUCAGCUUGUUGGUGAGGUAAUGGCUCACCAAGGCGACGACGGGUAGCCGGCCUGAGAGGGCGACCGGCCACACUGGGACUGAGACACGGCCCAGACUCCUACGGGAGGCAGCAGUGGGGAAUAUUGCACAAUGGGCGCAAGCCUGAUGCAGCGACGCCGCGUGAGGGAUGACGGCCUUCGGGUUGUAACCUCUUUCAGCAGGGAAGAAGCGAAAGUGACGGUACCUGCAGAAGAAGCACCGGCUAACUACGUGCCAGCAGCCGCGGUAAUACGUAGGGUGCGAGCGUUGUCCGGAAUUAUUGGGCGUAAAGAGCUUGUAGGCGGUUUGUCGCGUCUGCAGUGAAAAUCCGGGGCUCAACCCCGGACUUGCUGUGGGUACGGGCAGACUAGAGUGUGGUAGGGGAGACCGGAAUUCCUGGUGUAGCGGUGGAAUGCGCAGAUAUCAGGAGGAACACCGAUGGCGAAGGCAGGUCUCUGGGCCACAACUGACGCUGAGAAGCGAAAGCAUGGGGAGCGAACAGGAUUAGAUACCCUGGUGGUCCAUGCCGUAAACGUUGGGCGCUAGGUGUGGGGCUCAUUCCACGAGCUCCGUGCCGCAGCUAACGCAUUAAGCGCCCCGCCUGGGGAGUACGGCCGCAAGGCUAAAACUCAAAGGAAUUGACGGGGGCCCGCACAAGCGGCGGAGCAUGCGGAUUAAUUCGAUGCAACGCGAAGAACCUUACCAAGGCUUGACAUAUACCGGAAACAUCUAGAGAUAGGUGCCCCGCAAGGUCGGUAUACAGGUGGUGCAUGGUUGUCGUCAGCUCGUGUCGUGAGAUGUUGGGUUAAGUCCCGCAACGAGCGCAACCCUCGUUCUAUGUUGCCAGCGCGUAACGGCGGGGACUCAUAGGAGACUGCCGGGGUCAACUCGGAGGAAGGUGGGGAUGACGUCAAAUCAUCAUGCCCCUUAUGUCUUGGGCUUCACGCAUGCUACAAUGGCCGGUACAAAGGGCUGCGAUACCGCGAGGUGGAGCGAAUCCCAAAAAACCGGUCUCAGUUCGGAUUGGGGUCUGCAACUCGACCCCAUGAAGUCGGAGUCGCUAGUAAUCGCAGAUCAGCAACGCUGCGGUGAAUACGUUCCCGG
rnacentral:rRNA from 1 species